ACCCCGGGGUUUUGUCGAAAGUGCGGGCUCACGGAACCGGAAGUGGUGGCCGGGCUCGGGCCCUGUGUGGGCGGGGAGGCGGGGCGCGGCUAGAGGACCCGGCGUGCGGCAGCGCUCAGCUCCCUGCCUUAGAGACCCGGCGGCUUGAAGGAAACUAGGUGUGGCAGGCGCCAAGCCUCUGGGAGUUGAGGCACUGCGAGCCGCCCGCCGGGUUCCAACCCUCCAGCAAACGCGGAGGCUACAAAACACAGGGCCCAUGAUUUACCGAAGCCUCACGGUUUUGUUGGUUUUUGAGACCAAGAUGACUUCCCAUCCGACCGGAACAGUGAGCCUCUCAGGGGACAGUAGCAUGUAAGAAAGACUCAUGGACGGUUCUGAACUCAGACUGUCAAGCCCAACGGCAGCACCAUCACCAUUACAGCCAUUCGCCAGCCCAGACCUUCUUUUGUUUUCAUGAUCUUUUAUUUUUCAAGAAGUGUUCUCAAAUCUCGUAGAAAGCUUGUUUUAAAUUCACAAGCUUGAAAGUAAUGAGUAAAUGCCAAUGUUGAAGCUAUAGUUUUAUGAAAUUAACGUAUAGCCACGUUUAUAAUUAUAUAACUGAAACCUGACAUUGACAGAUUAAACAGUAAUGUGAUUUUGAUAAUACAUAUGGGGGAUGAGGUGAAUAGGAAUAAUUUUAUUCACCUGUUCUUACUCCAUGACCAGAAACACAAAGCAAGGGUGUAGUUCAGUGCUAGAGUGCUUCGCUAGCAAGUAUGAGGACUUAGAGAAAGUCCUUAGAGAAAGAAAGUCUAUGCUGCUGGUAAGAGAGCAUAGCUGGUAUGGUGUUUGCCAUAUAAGAAUGGUGAUUUAAGUUUGAUUCCAGAGCCCAGAUGAAAUUGCUAGGCAGAGUGGUAUGUCCUUGUAAUCCCAACUCUGGGAAGGCAAAGGCAGGUGGAGUCUUGGGGCUCCUAGCCAACCAGCCUAGCCAAAUUACAAGCUCCAGGUCAAUGACAGGACAAUUUCAAAAAAAAAAAAAAAAAAAAAAAGAA